rnacentral:misc_RNA from 1 species
GGGUCAUAAUUGUACAUUACUGCCAUUUUUAUUAAUUAUAAAUACAUGCAUGGAGCACAGAGAAAAGUCAGGUAAUUGUUUGAAUUUCCACAAACUCAUGGCAAUACUACUUUUGCUUGCUCUGCCUUUGAUUUUAUACUCUCCAUCAUUGUCUUCAGCAUCUGAUAGUCUAACCAAAGGCUCAUCUUUAUUAGUGGAGAACACAAACGAUCGUUUGAUUUCACCAAGUGGCACUUUCAUUGCCGGAUUCUUCCCCGUCGGUGAUAACGCUUACUGCUUUGCCAUAUGGUUUGAUGAACCUUUCUGCAAUAACAAUUGCACUAUAGUUUGGAUGGCAAACCGUGACCAACCAGUUAAUGGGAAACGUUCCGCGCUCUCUCUGCUAAAAUCUGGUAAUCUUAUCUUAACUGAUGCUGGUCGAAUCACAGUUUGGGCUACGGACACAGUUUCAGAAUCUUCAGUGCACUUACAACUUCAGGAAAGUGGCAAUCUUGUACUGAACAACUCGGAAGGAGAUAUUCUUUGGCAAAGCUUCGAUUUCCCCACGAAUACUCUCCUUCUGCUUCAGCCACUAAGCAAAGAUAAGCAGCUUGUCUCCUCAAGAAGUCAAACCAACUAUAGUUCAGGAUUCUACAAGCUUUUGUUCGACAAUGAUAACGUUCUCCAUCUUCUUUUUGCUAGUCCAAGUAUCACAAGCCUUUACUGGCCAGAUCCUGAGCUCUUGGUCUUUGAAGCUAAAAGAUCUACUUACAACAACAGUAGAAGGGCUUAUUUUGAUCCUUCGGGCAAUUUCAGUUCAUCAGAUUCGUUCUUUUCUAAGUCAGCGGAUUAUGGAGCGAAAUUCCAAAGAAGAUUGACGAUAGAUAGCGAUGGAAAUCUUCGAUUGUACAGUCGAGAAGAUAAACGAGACGCGUGGACUGUUUCAUGGCAGGCCAUAUCUCAAACUUGCAGUAUUCAUGGGAUUUGUGGACCAAAUAGCGUCUGCAGCUAUGUUCCUAGUUCUGGUAGGAAUUGUUCCUGCCUCCGGGGAUUCAAGAUGAAGGAUGUAACUGACUGGUCUUUGGGAUGUGAGCCAGAAAUCAAGCUUUGUUCAACCAAUGAGACCAAUUUCCUUAGACUAACUCAUGUCCAAUUUUAUGGGUAUGACUAUGGCUUCUAUCCGAAUUACACCUUAGAUAGGUGUAAAGAAGUAUGCUCCCAAAGAUGUGAUUGCCCUGGGUUCCAAUUCAGAUUCAGCAAGCAUGGUAACCCGAAUAACAUUCCUUAUUGUUUUGUGAAGUUCCGGUUGCUAAACGGGUAUCGUUCGCCGAGUUUUGAAGAAGAUUUUUACUUGAAAGUGCCAAUAACAAGUCCCUUGUACUCUGCACCGGUGGAAGAAUCAAGGUUACAUUGCGCAGUUGAAAUUACCAAGCUAGACAGAGUGUAUACAAAAAUCCCUGAAAAUGGAACACUAAAGUUUUUGCUUUGGUUUGCUUCGAUUGUUGGAGCAAUUGAGUUCACUGGUAUUUUCUUGGUAUGGUGUUUCUUGAUGAGAACACACCAGACCUCCGUCGUAGUUAAGCAAGAUUACCUUGAAGUUGCAACUGGCUUUAGAAAAUUCACCUACACCGAGCUGGAAAAGGCAACCCAUGGUUUCCGUGAAGAAAUUGGAAGAGGAGCAGGAGGAAUUGUUUACAGAGGAGUACUAUCUGAUCAUAGAAUUGCAGCAGUAAAGCGACUGAUCGAUGAAGCUAGCCAAGGUGAAGCGCAGUUUCGGGCCGAAGUUAGUGUGAUUGGGAAGCUUAAUCACAUGAACCUGAUAGAGAUGUGGGGAUAUUGUGCGGAGGGAAAGCACAGGCUUGUGGUUUACGAGUGCAUGGAGCAUGGAUCCUUGGCAGAUAAUCUCUCUUCUAACACUCUUGAUUGGAAGCAGAGGUUUAACAUUGCCUUAGGUGUAGCCAAAGGCCUUUCCUAUUUACAUGAAGAGUGCCUGGAGUGGGUUCUACACUGUGAUAUAAAGCCUCAAAACAUACUGCUAGACCUUGGUUACCAGCCAAAGGUGUCAGAUUUUGGCCUGUCUCAUCUACUGAAAACAGAUAGCCAUGGAAUUUCAAGGCUUUCAAGGAUUAGAGGUACUAGAGGUUACAUUGCUCCAGAGUGGGUUUUGAAUCUGCCCAUCACUUCCAAGGUGGAUGUUUAUAGCUAUGGAAUGGUCUUAUUGGAGAUGGUAACUGGAAAAAGCCCAACAGCAGAUAUAGAGGACAGAAGACUGGUUACAUGGGUAAAAGAAAAUAUUAAAGGAGCUUCUGCAAUGGAUUUGAGUAUGGAAAAGAUUGUAAACCCUGAUGUGGAAGGAAAUUAUGACAAGACCCAGAUGAAAAUCCUUGUUGGGGUGGCUUUAAAAUGUGCAAAUGAAGACAAAGAUACGAGACCCACCAUGAGACAAGUUGUUGAGAUGCUUCUGCAAUAUGAGAAGCAUAACUCUGAAUCUGUUGAAUUCACCAUUGAAUAGCGAAAUGGAAGUCCA